rnacentral:rRNA from 1 species
AUAAAUCAAAACUUUCAACAACGGAUCUCUUGGUUCUGGCAUCGAUGAAGAACACAGCAAAAUGCGAUAAGUAAUGUGAAUUGCAGAAUUCAGUGAAUCAUCGAAUCUUUGAACGCACAUUGCGCCCGCCAGUAUUCUGGCGGGCAUGCCUGUUCGA